AGAGUUUGAUCCUUGCUCAGGACGAACGCUGGCGGCGCGCCUAACACAUGCAAGUCGAACGAGCGAGAGAGAGCUUGCUUUCUCGAGCGAGUGGCGAACGGGUGAGUAACGCGUGAGGAACCUGCCUCAAAGAGGGGGACAACAGUUGGAAACGACUGCUAAUACCGCAUAAGCCCACGGUGCCGCAUGGCACAGAGGGAAAAGGAGCAAUCCGCUUUGAGAUGGCCUCGCGUCCGAUUAGCUAGUUGGUGAGGUAACGGCCCACCAAGGCGACGAUCGGUAGCCGGACUGAGAGGUUGAACGGCCACAUUGGGACUGAGACACGGCCCAGACUCCUACGGGAGGCAGCAGUGGGGAAUAUUGCACAAUGGGGGAAACCCUGAUGCAGCGACGCCGCGUGGAGGAAGAAGGUCUUCGGAUUGUAAGCUCCUGUUGUUGGGGAAGAUAAUGACGGUACCCAACAAGGAAGUGACGGCUAACUACGUGCCAGCAGCCGCGGUAAAACGUAGGUCACAAGCGUUGUCCGGAAUUACUGGGUGUAAAGGGAGCGCAGGCGGGAAGACAAGUUGGAAGUGAAAUCUAUGGGCUCAACCCAUAAACUGCUUUCAAAACUGUUUUUCUUGAGUAGUGCAGAGGUAGGCGGAAUUCCCGGUGUAGCGGUGGAAUGCGUAGAUAUCGGGAGGAACACCAGUGGCGAAGGCGGCCUACUGGGCACCAACUGACGCUGAGGCUCGAAAGUGUGGGUAGCAAACAGGAUUAGAUACCCUGGUAGUCCACACCGUAAACGAUGAUUACUAGGUGUUGGAGGAUUGACCCCUUCAGUGCCGCAGUUAACACAAUAAGUAAUCCACCUGGGGAGUACGACCGCAAGGUUGAAACUCAAAGGAAUUGACGGGGGCCCGCACAAGCAGUGGAGUAUGUGGUUUAAUUCGACGCAACGCGAAGAACCUUACCAAGUCUUGACAUCCCUUGACAGACAUAGAAAUAUGUAAUCUCUUCGGAGCAAGGAGACAGGUGGUGCAUGGUUGUCGUCAGCACGUGUCGUGAGAUGUUGGGUUAAGUCCCGCAACGAGCGCAACCCUUAUGGUCAGUUACUACGCAAGAGGACUCUGGCCAGACUGCCGUUGACAAAACGGAGGAAGGUGGGGAUGACGUCAAAUCAUCAUGCCCUUUAUGACUUGGGCUACACACGUACUACAAUGGCGUUAAACAAAGAGAAGCAAGACCGCGAGGUGGAGCAAAACUCAGAAACAACGUCCCAGUUCGGACUGCAGGCUGCAACUCGCCUGCACGAAGUCGGAAUUGCUAGUAAUCGUGGAUC
rnacentral:rRNA from 1 species